AAUCUUGUGGUCAUUCGGGUAUAGUUCAUUGAUGAGAGAGGGGGAAAAUGAUUCCUGGCAUGGUCAGAUAGUUGAAGACUUGCAGCAGUGUCUGAAAUCUUGUGGCUCAUGGAAGAUUGGUUUUAGUCAUCGUGAAGGCAACGAAGUGGCUCAUCAUUUGGCAAAGAUGACAUUGUAUUGCAUUAAUGAUCAAUAUUGGUUAGAAGAGGGCCCUGAGUCUAUCAAUGUGCUGGAAAAUGACAAGUUGUAUAGUCAAACU